rnacentral:rRNA from 1 species
CCUACGGGAGGCAGCAGUGAGGAAUAUUGGUCAAUGGACGAGAGUCUGAACCAGCCAAGUAGCGUGAAGGAUGACUGCCCUAUGGGUUGUAAACUUCUUUUAUAUGGGAAUAAAAUGUUCCACGUGUGGGAUUUUGUAUGUACCAUAUGAAUAAGGAUCGGCUAACUCCGUGCCAGCAGCCGCGGUAAUACGGAGGAUCCGAGCGUUAUCCGGAUUUAUUGGGUUUAAAGGGAGCGUAGGUGGAUUGUUAAGUCAGUUGUGAAAGUUUGCGGCUCAACCGUAAAAUUGCAGUUGAAACUGGCAGUCUUGAGUACAGUAGAGGUGGGCGGAAUGCGUGGUGUAGCGGUGAAAGGCUUAGAUAUCACGAAGAACUCCGAUUGCGAAGGCAGCUCACUGGACUGCAACUGACACUGAGGCUCGAAAGUGUGGGUAUCAAACAGGAUUAGAUACCCCUGUAGUC